rnacentral:piRNA from 1 species
UGUGACAGGGUUUUGAAGCAUGAGCA